GAUGAACGCUGGCGGCGUGCCUAAUACAUGCAAGUCGAGCGAACAGACGAGGAGCUUGCUCCUCUGACGUUAGCGGCGGACGGGUGAGUAACACGUGGAUAACCUACCUAUAAGACUGGGAUAACUUCGGGAAACCGGAGCUAAUACCGGAUAAUAUAUUGAACCGCAUGGUUCAAUAGUGAAAGACGGUUUUGCUGUCGCUUAUAGAUGGAUCCGCGCCGCAUUAGCUAGUUGGUAAGGUAACGGCUUACCAAGGCAACGAUGGGUAGCCGACCCGAGAGGGUGAUCGGCCACACUGGAACUGAGACACGUCCCAGACUCCUACGGGAGGCAGCAGUAGGGAAUCUUCCGCAAUGCGCGAAAGCCUGACGGAGCAACGCCGCGUGAGUGAUGAAGGUCUUCGGAUCGUAAAACUCUGUUAUUAGUGAAGAACAAAUGUGUAAGUACCUAUGAACGUCUUGACGGUACCUAAUCAGAAAGCCACGGCUAACUACGUG
rnacentral:rRNA from 1 species